CAGCCCCCGCUCUUCUCCACCUUCAGCCGCGCCGGCAGCGGCACAGAACUGGAACUGCCCUGGACGGCCACAGCUCUGCACAUCCCCCGGGAGUGUGGACAAGAAAAAAUAAACACAAUUAGAAUUCACGACAAUGGGCCCCUGAUGGAAGAAAGGCCAGCAGCCUCAAGCAAGCCGAAGUCCUUUCCUUUUGAAUGCAGAGUCUUGUAAAUUCUACUGUCUUCACAAACUCAGCUGCUGGUGGAAGCUCUCUGAAGAGCUGAGACAGGAGGUGGCACUGCUCUGACACCAUCCUUUGAAGGUGACAGAGCAACUCAGGGCUUGGGGGACGCCAGCCAGACGUGGAGAGGAGAGAGAAGAGGUGCUUGCAGAGACCACGAGGUCGUCACUCUCUCCCAGCAGCCAUCCCAGCAUGAUGGGCACUCCAAGGGCCAGCUCAUCCCACUGCUGGAGCAGAUCACACAGGACAGCCAGGGCCAGGCCCAGAGCGAUGGAGGCAUCCACCUGGCAGAAGGAAAAUUCUGCAGAGACAGGAGAAAGCUAUUUUCAAAUGGAACAAAUGGCCUGGGUUCCCCAGAGUUCCUGCAGGUCCAGCUCCCAAAGAAGACAAACUCCACAGAAGUGUUAUGUGCCUAGAACCUGUGACUGCCUGAUGUAAGCAUGCUUCCUGGUGACCUACGAUGAAACCAGAAAUACCCUAGCAAAUCCUUUGUUUUCAUUUUAAAGAAAAGAUAAUUUCAGAAUCUUUAUUAUUUUUAAUCAACAAUACAUUCCAAAAGAUCUUUAUUUUUAAAGUUAAAAUAACUAUGAUUUUUUAAAAUGUGAGCCCACCUCAAAUCACUGGGUAAAUAAAUUUUUUCUCCCUAAACUGAUUUUAAAAAUGGAUACAACCAGUCUGAAUGAAAACAAGUAAGCAUUUCAUAAGAGUUCUUCUUCUUCAAUAGGAAUGUACUUCACCAAAAAGGGGCUGAUAAAUUAUAACCAGUUAACAACAUACUCAGCUCAAACCCUAGAAAAAUACUUGCAUUUGUUUACUUCACGAAACCAACAAAUAAGGAAUGGAUUAAAACAAGUAUCACUCUCAGAAAAUAGCAUGUGGGAAAAAGACCUGGUUCUCCAGGGGGCUUCCAGUCUGGAGCUGAUCCACCAGCCUCCAGCCCCUCAGGGUGCUUCCAUUAAGUGCAACUCACUCCCGUUUCUUAGGCAAUCUCCAGAGCUCAGCAGGAAGGGUUACAGCACCCAUGGGCUGAGCACAUGGGCUUUGUGGCUAUUCCAGGGCAGGUAACAAAGGCCAGUCCUUGGGGCCUUGGUGUGUGAAGGGACAGCAGAGCAAACCAUGGGGCCUAUCCAGCCUGCAUUUGGCAUUCUUGCAUCUGGUGAUGAUUCCUUUGCCCUGAACUGUGUCAUGCCCUUCCUGUGCAAAGUGCAAAGCCAGUCCCUCCACAGCAGAUGAGCCCCUCCCUCUGUUCCUUGGUGAUUUCACUCUGCAGAGCCUCCCAGAGGGUUUGAUCGUCUCCAACUCUGCACAGGUGGUAAGUGCCUCGCACUUCAUUCCUAUCUGCAUGGCCACUCACCCCCGAGCACUCCUCCUGGACAUUACAGCACCCAGCCUUCUUUCUUCCCUGCCCAUGUCAUGAGCCAGUGAGGGAGGCUUCCACAGACUGGUAAGUGCUGGGCAACUUGAGGUCUGCCUUCCAUCAGCCUCCUCUUCCUCUGCCUGGACAGAGUUCAUCGCCGGCUCAGAGGACACAUUCCACAUUCCUUACUGACCAGCCUGGAUCUUGAAACUGUUCUUUUUCUUUUCCUUGACAUCACUUCAGUUUUCUUUAGCUUACUUCACUACUGGAACUUCCUUGUGUAGGAAAUUUCUUCUCGGCCUGAGCUCCUAAGACUGACUGGCUCCCUCUGAGCUCUUUGUGAAGCUUCCCUGGCCCUCAGCAUCACCUGCCUGGCUUCCCACUGCCACCCUCCACCCUCUGAGCUUAUUCAGGGCUUGAGGUGGGAGAGAGGAAGAAAGCAAGUAACCAAUUCAUUUCAACAGAGCUGUCAUGAGCAAAAGGCACUGUGCUAGCCUUGAAGAACAUGCUCAGUUGAGGUACUGCAAACACAGCACAGAACUCAAGACAGGGGACUGCCUGGCUCCCAAAACACACUGGUGGGAUAUGGGUGGUAGUGGUGCAGAUGGUCCUGAGGUGUAACUGAAGACCAGAAACUGAACAUCAGAAAAAUUCAAGAAGAUAAUGUUUCUCUCCUGAAGUCUUUACCACCUCCCAGCCUUAUACAGAAUCCAGAAAUUUCCCUUAUUAGGCACCCCUACCUCACACCUAGGCUUUUAUGGCUCUAAAUAGAACAAACACAGUAGAUGGUAAUGUAAUGAGCAAAUCAAGGUAUGAAUGACUUUUAAACUCACCACGUGAUUUUAAGAUUUACAGUGUUGAAAAUGAAAACGCCUGCGAUUUUGAAGUUUCUGGGAAUUUUGUAUCCUGAAAGGGAGUUUACUCCCAGCCCUCUCAAGGCUUUUCCUAUCUGUCCUGGGUGGCCAGCACUCCCCAGCAGCCUCCCUGGAGUGACUGUACACUUCCCAAAGGCAUGGGAAACCACCUCCGACAUGGCCCUAGGCUGACGCCGAGUGUGGAGAAGCCUGUGGGGCAGGUAAGAGAAGGGAGAGAUCCACAGAAAACCUCUUUCAGGAACACGCCAAAGAAGAGACAACAAGUCAGAGAUUAGAGGGCAGUGAGACUCUAGGUUUUGGGCCAACUAAAAAGGAGGAAAGCUCAAACUGUUACAGGAUGGCUUGAAGUUACCUGCUAACAGGAGCAUCUGAGCAGGGUUUCAGGACCCCAGGGGUCCACUGCUCAGAAAACUUCCCUUCCUUUAAGCACCAGGCCUUCAGUGGAGAGGCUGGGAGAAGGGACUCCGGGAAGAAGCAGGCUGUUUUCCACUUUGCAGUGAAUGUCACUAGCGAAGAGAAUCAGACUACACUGAAAAUGGCAGUACAUGAAAAAAUUCACAGUAACUACCCACGAGUCAUUUUGUUAGUAAUUCUGAAAACUGCAGCUAACAACAAAACAAUGACUGGGGGAAAAUUGUGACUUGGUGGAAAUAAACACAAAAAACUUACAAGGUCUAAAACUGGGCAUGAAAAGUCCUACUAAAAUUUUUGAAUAAAAAUAAAAUCACUAUUAAAGGCUAGGCAUGGCAGGGCACAGUGGCUCACACCUGUAAUCCCAGCACUGAGAGGCCAAGGCAGGUGGAACACCUGAGGUCAGGAGUUCCAGACCAGCCUGGCCAACACACUGAAACCCCAUCUCUACUAAAAAUAUAAAAGUUAGCCAGAUGUGAUGGUGGGCACCUGUAAUCCCAGCUACUAAGGAGGCUGAGGCAUGAGAAUCGCUUGAACCCAGGAAGCGGAGGGUGCAGUGAGCCAAGAUCAUGCCACUGCACUCCAGCCUGGGCAACAGAGCCAGACUCCAUCUAAAAAAUAAAAAAUAAAAGUGCUGGGCAUAGUGGCUCAUGCCUAUAAUCCCAACACUUUAGGAAGCUGAUGUGGGAGGAUCAUUCAAGCCCAGGAGUUCAAGACCAGCCUGGGCAACAUGGUGAGACCCUGUGUCUACAAAAAAAAUGUAAAAAUUAGCUGACUGUGGUGGUACAUGCCUGUGGUCCCUGCUACUUGGGAGGCUGUGGUGGGAGGAUCACUGGAGCCUAGGAGUUCAAGGCUGCAGUAAGCUGUGAUCGCACCACUGCACUCCAACCUGGGUGCCAGAGCAAAACCCUAUCUUCAAACAAAACAAACAAAGAGUUGAUAUUUAAGAAAAUAAGGGAGAACAUUAGGAAAUGGCUUCACUGCUUCGUAUAGAAUAUGUAUAUGUAUAUACACAUACAUGCACACACAUGCAUGCACACACAUAUAUAGAGAGAGUGUCUUGCUUUGUCACCCAGGCUGGAGUGCCGUAGCAGGAUCUGGGCUCAUUGCAAUCUCUGCCUCCCGGGUUCAAGUGAUUCUCCCACUUCAGCCUCCUAAGUAGCUGUGAUUACACCUGGCUAAUUUUUUUUCGAGUUUUAGUACAGAUAGGGUUUCACCGUGUUGGCCACGCUGGUCUCAAACUUCUGACCUCAAGUGAUCUGCCUGCCUAGGCCUCCCAAAGUGCUGGGAUUACAGGUGGGAGCCACUGCAUCUGCUCCGUAUAGAAAACUGAUGAAGGAAUUAAAGUGGACUGUUGGAGUUACAAUGGAAAAUAAUUUCUUGAUGAAAUGAAUGAAUGUUCAUAUAAUUCAGAUUAGAAAUUUGCAUUUAUGUAGAGUCACAGUGUCCUCCAAGUCAAAAUGUUGAAGUCAAAACAUGCGGAAUCCAUUUUGAAAGUUCUGUUACCUGAAGGAAGAAAAAGGAGGCAAGUCUCCUCUGCAUUGAGCCGUCACUGAGGGGAGCGCCUCGGGGGCCUCCACGGCCUUCCUGUCCCUGUGCUCUUGGCUUCGAGCUCUCAUCUGACUGGGCUCUCUGGGCAGUGUGUACACGGCUCUGGGGCUCCGGGGCUCUGAGGCUCCCUCCUCUGCUGCUGCUUGCUUUAUCCUUUCCUCUCCACAGCAUCCUGUGCUCUGCCUUCACCUCUGUAGCCACAGUUACCCAUCCUGACAACUGCUCCCUUUUAAGCACCCCUCAAACUUGUCUCCUCUCCAUCCCCACUGCCAUUUCCUUGGUCCAUCCUGACCAACCUUCCUCUCAGAACAACAGCAGUCUUCUUUUUUUUGGAGAUGGGGUCUUACUACAUUGCCCAGGCGGUCCAGAGUACAGUGGUGCAAUUAUGGCUUACUGCAGCCUCAACCUCCUGGGCUCAAGUGAUCCUCCUACCUUAGCCUCCUGAGUAACUGGGACUACAGGCACAUGCCACCGUACUCAGCUAAUUUUGUAUUUUUUGUAGAGACAGGGUUUUGCCAUGUUGUCCAGGCUAGUCUUGAACUCCUGGACUCAAGUAUUCCUCCCACCUUAGCCUCCCAAAAUGUGGGGUUAGAGGUAUAAAUCGCCAGGCUCCUUGCUUCUAGUCUUGUCUUGACUCCAAGCUCUCCCCUUCCCUGUGGUCAGGGUGACCUGUUUAAGACAAUUCUUACCUGACUACAUCUCAGUCUAAAAGCCUUCAGUGCUUCCACAAAGCCCAAAUGGCUGACAUCUUUAACAUUAAAGACUCUUUCUCCCUGGCUUCCCCGCCCCUUAAGGUCACAGCUCUCUUGUAUCUCUAGUGGAUUGGCUGCAGCAGCCAUGGGUAUGUUAGGCUUACAAUUUCCUUCAUUCUUGGUGGCUGAGUCUCUCUUAAGUUCUUCCUGAGCUUUAGUCAAAUCUUUUCAAGUGACCCUGAAUCUUCUCGGUACCUCUCCCCUUCUCACCCCCAUCCAAACUUUCUUUCUUCUGUUACCAGCAUCUCUUUGGUGACCAUACUCUUUUUCCUUCCAUUUAUUUCCAGGUCUAACAGAAUGAUGACACUGUGCCAAUUCUCAGUGUCUCGGGAGGUGGGGACAGGGUGGAACAUGCCUGCUAUUCCUUGUCAGAGCAGACCUGGGGUGGAUGUCAUCGAGAAAGGACCUCCAGUUCCUCAAUAAGUCAAAGAAUGACCACGUGACCCACAAUUCCACUCCUAGGUACAUAUCCAAGAGAACUGAAAGCAGGCAUCCAAACAAAAGCUUAUACAUAAUGUUCAUAGCAGCACUAUUCACAACAGCCAAGAGGUGGAAACAACCCAGAUGUCCAUCCAGUAAUGGACGAAUGGAUAAAUAAAAUGUGGAACAGCCGUACAAUGGAAUAUUACUCAGCUAUUAAAAGAAUUAAAAGUGCCGAUUCAUGCUACAACAUGGAUGAACCUUGUAAACGUUAUGUUUAAUGAAAAAAGCCAAGCACAAAAGGUCAUAUAUAAAUCCAUUUACAUGAAAUAACUAGAAUAGGAAAAGUCAUGGAGACAGAAAGCAGACUGAUAGUUGCCAGGGGCUGGGGGAUAAGAGGUGAUUACUUAAUGGGGACAGGGUUUUUUAGGGGAGUGACGAAACCAUUCUGGAACUAGAGAGUGGUAAUGAUUGCACACUGGUGUAAAAGUACUAAACACUAUUGAAACUGUAUACUUUAAAAUGGUUAAUUUGAUGUGAAUUUUGUUUCAAUAAAAUAUAAAUAUGAAAAAAGAAAGGGGCUGGGCACAGUGGCUCACACCUGGAAUCCCAGCACUUUGGGAGGCCAAGGUUGGAGGAUCCUUAAGCCCAAGAGUUCGAGACCAGUGUGGGCAACACAGUGUGACCCUUCCUCUAUAAAAAUUAAGAUAAAAGAAAAGGGAAGAACUCUUAUAGGGAUGAGUAGGAGAGUAUGUCAAGAACAGAAGAUGAUGGAUAAUUUAAUUCUGUGCCUCUGAGGCUUUAAAGCAAAGGGAGGGGGCAGGAAAGUGGGCCCACUUCAGUAACUAUUUCUCUCCAGGAUACAUUCUCCAAAGACGAACCCUAAGAAGGGAGGUGAUGGGUGGACAGAUGAUGGUGAACAGAGAGGGGUUACAAUGAGGGUGAAAAGGGGUUAGGCCUCCUUCCCUGCUUGCUGGGGCCUGGGCUCACACAAGGACAAGAGGACUUGAAAGGCUGCAGCCUAGGACGGUGGUCUGCACAGCCACUGAGAAGGGAACCCUUGCUUUCUGUUAAUAAAGCAAGACAUUUCACAUCCAAAAUCAUCUGUGCGGUAAGACUCAAAUGUAAGUGGAUCCUGUGAAACGGUUUUAUGCAGAAAGCAGAGAUCAGAUCAGAUCACAAAGCUGCAGAGAAAUCUCUUUAACCAAAUUACAAAGACUCACUCGUCUGGUUUCCAUUUCACUGCCUGAGUCUGUUUUAUAGUUGUGCUUUCUCAUGAAGGCUUUUAAGGGAGGCUAUUCCCUGACAUCAUGUGGAAAAAAUGUCCAAAUACUAUUACAUUACAGAGCAGCACUCUUGGAAGAGAAGGCAGCCUCGAAGCCUGCUGGUGUCCUGUUUCCUCUCCUUUAAACCCAUUUGUUGCUCUCUGCUCUCGAAAAGCAGAAACCCCCAAUCCCAGCUCUCCUGGUCUGGUUCCUCUCUCUGUCGGUGGGCGGAACACCAGUCUGGGAAAUACAGCAA